AGUGAACGCUGGCGGUAGGCCUAACACAUGCAAGUCGAACGGCAGCACAGUAAGAGCUUGCUCUUACGGGUGGCGAGUGGCGGACGGGUGAGGAAUACAUCGGAAUCUACUUUUUCGUGGGGGAUAACGUAGGGAAACUUACGCUAAUACCGCAUACGACCUACGGGUGAAAGCAGGGGAUCUUCGGACCUUGCGCGAUUGAAUGAGCCGAUGUUGGAUUAGCUAGUUGGCGGGGUAAAGGCCCACCAAGGCGACGAUCCGUAGCUGGUCUGAGAGGAUGAUCAGCCACACUGGAACGGAGACACGGUCCAGACUCCUACGGGAGGCAGCAGUGGGGAAUAUUGGACAAUGGGCGCAAGCCUGAUCCAGCCAUACCGAGUGGGUGAAGAAGGCCUUCGGGUUGUAAAGCCCUUUUGUUGGGAAAGAAAAGCAGCAGGUUAAUACCCCGCUGUUCUGACGGUACCCAAAGAAUAAGCACCGGCUAACUUCGUG
rnacentral:rRNA from 1 species